rnacentral:lncRNA from 1 species
GAGACGGGGUUUCACCAUGUUGGCCAGGCUGGUCUUGAACUCCUGACCUCAGGUGAUCGCUUGCCUCGGCCUCCCAAAGUGGAGUUACAGGCAUGAAUCACAGUGCCCAGCCUCUUGUAUAUUUUUCCACAUACACAUUUUUUCAUACAUACAUAUGUGAGAAUAAAUGUUCUUAUUCCCCCUCCCCCAUUUUUAUGUAGGAGAAAAUACCGUACAAACCCUUCUGCACAUUGGACUUGAGAUGGCUUUUCCAUCUCAGUGCAAAAAGGCGACAUUUUUUCUUAACCACUGCACAUUAUUUGGUUAUCACCCAGUUUAGGGACAUUGAGUUUCUUUUGUACUCUAGUGCUUGAAUGAUUAUCCUUGGAUGUACAUCUUUCCUUGUAUAUUUAAAUAUGUCUCAUCUCAGUUUCCACAGGUGGAAUUGCUCUGCAAAAAGGCAUAUAUGUAUUUUUAAUUUGCCCUCUAUGUACUAAAUGUUUUCACCCCAGCAUUGCUGAUGGAUUAGAGUGCUGCCAAGUUUUUGGAUUUUUACCUACCAGCUUUUGAAGGGCAGAUUAUUUCAAGUCUUAAUUAAUAUUUUCAGGAACAGUAACAAUAUCAUUUGGUUAAAUUGAGAGAAAUGGGGUUCAGUUGACAGAAUUUGUUCAGGAUAUAGAAUUUUUCUGCUGCUGCUCCUGCAGCUACACACCUACAACUAGUAAAAACAUGGUUGCUUAGGUUGUCAAAUGACCAGCAAACCUGGAGAGGAACCUGGAAUGACUAUAAACAGCUCCACCCACACUUUUUUUGGGCAAAUGUGCAAGCUUAGUAGAAUCUAAAAGGAUACUUCAGCCUUUGUUUGAGUUGCAGAAAAUUAACAUGGUAAGGAGGAAAAAAUCACUAAUUUUUUUAAAAAGUUCCCUGAUACAGGAACUGAAAAUGAUUUUUGACCAACCUGGGCAAUAGAGCAAAAUCCCAUCUCUACAAAAAAAUACAAAAAUUAGUCGGGCAUGGUGGUGCUGCCUGUAGUGACGGCUACUCAUCCUGAGGUGGGAAGAUUGCUUGAGGCCAGGAGGUUGAGGCUGCAGUGAGCCAGGAUCACACCACUGCACCAGCCUGGGCUACAGAGUAAGACUCAAGAAAAAAAAAAGAUGUUUAAUUAAUCUUGCUUCAGUGCUGAGGUGGUACAGGGAGGGAGAAAGGGAUAUUGGGCUAUGAAUUCCAUCUAAACUGGGGAUUUUUAUCAGGGUGUGAAGAAAGAUUUUCAGGAAUAAUUAUCUGAGUUACUUGGAGUAAAAGUAGCAGGAGGAGGAAAAGAGAUAUGGCCUGUGGGUCUCUGACUUGCCAAACUUCUUAUUCAUUUUACAAAUCAUGAUUUCUAGAGCAUCUUAAUCUUUGAGGCCCAGCUGCUUGGAAGUUGCAUAAUCUCUAUACUUCAGUUCCCCCCUAUAAAAUGGGGAAUAUGAUAGAAUCUACCUUGUAUUUGAGAGGACUAAAUAAAUAUAAAGUGCUUAGAAAAGUAAGGACUCAACUACUAGUAAUAAUUAUUUUGACAUGUUUAAGUAAUCAGUACUAUCUGGAAAACUGUGCUAAUAGUGCCUGAUCUACACAAAUUUAAGUGACUAUACCCCUUUUUUGAGUCAGAGUCUCACUACGUUACCCAGGCUGGAGUACAGUGGUACGAUCUCUGCUCAGUGCAGCCUCCGCCUCCUGGGUUCAAGAGAUUCUCCAGCCUCAGCCUCCCAAGUAGCUGGGAUUACAGGCGCCUACCACCACACCUGGCUAAUUUUUGUAUUUUUAGUAGAGAUGGGGUUUUACCAUGUUGGCCAGGCUGGCCUCAAACUCUGGACUUCAAGUGAUCACCUGCCUCAGCCUUCUAAGGUGCUAGGAUUAUAGGCUUGAGCCACUGCAGCCACCACUCUGUAUAUCUCUUUUGAAAGUCAUAAGCAAUAUCUUUGGAAAAAACACUUAAGGUUAUUUAUUUAGAGGUAGUGUCUCUCUGUACCCCAGCUGGAGUACAGUGGCACAGUAUCACAGCUUGCUGCAGCAUCAAAUUCCUAGGCUCAAGCCAUCCUUCCACCGGACAUGUUGGCGUGCACCUCCUGAGUAGCUGGGACUACAGUUGUGCUCUACCACACCGGGCUAAUUUUUGUAUUUUUUAGUAGAGACAGGGUUUUGCCAUGUUAGACAGGCUGGUCUGGAACACCUGACCUCCGGUGAUCUGCCCACCUCAGUCUCCCAAAGGGCUGGGAUUAAAGGCAUGAGCCACCGCACUCAGCCACUUAAGGCUUUUAAAAAAUCAAUUAAUUUCUAAAUGGUUUUGGACUUUUGACUCCUUAUAAGUGUUAAGAUAUUUUGGUAUCACUUUUUUCCUUCCAAAAAAAAAAAAAAAACCAACUAGGUGAUAUCUAUUCCUCAGUCAAAGUUAAUUAAAACUAUUUUGGAUCCCAGCACUUUGGGAAGCCAAAGGCAGGCAGAUCACCUGAGGUCAGGAGUUCAAGACCAGCCUUGCCAACAUGGUGAAACCCUGUCUCUACUAAAAAUACAAAAAUUAGCAGAGCAUGGUGGCAGGCGCCUGUAAUCCCAGCUACUCAGGAGGCUGAGGCAGGAGAAUUGCUUGAACCCGGGAGGCGGAGUUUGCAGUGAGCCAAGAUAGUGCCAUCGCACUCCAGCCUGGACAACAGAGCGAGACUCCAUCUAAAAAAAAAAAAAAAAAAAAAAAAAACUCAGUUUUUGGUUUUGAAAAUGUCAUGAUACCUGUUGAGAUAACUGCUGAAUAGAUGGGUAAUACACAGUCUAGGGCAUGGUAUCAAAAGAACUUGUCACUGUACAUAUCGGAAAUGGUAAAAAUAUGUUUUGCCGUUUUCACGAAUUCAUUCAUUUUUCAUGUUUCAUGAAUUCAUUCUUUUUAAAAAAAAAAAAUCCUGCUAAUUCUCUGUUUCUCUUGCUUUUCUCCUUUAUGACUAAGUUUUCCUCAUUAUGGGUUACCCCACAUUACUGCUUACGAAGACAUCUCUUUAGUCAGAAAACAGUAGCUUGGUUCAGUUCUAGCUUCAUUGUUAAGCUCAUAGGUAAAUCUGGCAAAUGGCUAGAAACAGUCACAUGUUUGCUUGUCCUUAAUGCUCUCACCUUUUCCCAGCUAUUUGGAUGUAUAUACUUUUGCUUACUUUGUAGUGUACCAACUUAAUAUAUGUUAUAGACUAAAUGUUUAUGUCCUCCCAAACUUCAUAUUUUGGAAGCCAGACAUGGUAACUCACACCUGUAAACCUAACACUUUGGGAGGCCUAGGUGGGAGGAUUGCUUGAGUCCGGGAGUUCAGAACCAGCCUGGACAACAUAGUGAGACCCCGUCUCUACAAAAAAAAAAAAAAUUUUUAAUUAGCCAGGUGUGGUGGCAUACACCUGUAGUCCCAGCUACUCAGGAGGCUUGCCUGAGCCCAGAAGUUUGAGACUGCAGUGAGCCAUGAUAUUGCCAGCCUGGGUGACAGAGCAAGACCUUGUCUCAAGAAAAAAAAAAAAAAUUGCCAAUUGCGAUGGCUCACGCCUGUAAUCCCAGCACUAGGAGGCCGAGGUGGGUGAAUCACCUGAGGUCAGGAGUUUUGAGACCAGCCUGGCCAACGUGGCAAAACCCCGUCUCUACUAAAAAUGCAAAAAUUACCGGGACGUGUUGGUGAGCACCUGUAAUCCCUGCUACUCGGGAGGCUGAGGCAAGAGAAUCUCUUGAACCCAGGGGGUGGAGGUUGCACUGAGCCGAGAUCAUGCCAUUGUACUUCACCUGGGCAACAAGAGGGAAACUGUCUCCAAAAAAAAAAAAUUUGGAGGGCUGGGCACGGUGGCUCACACCUGUAAUCCCAGCACUUUGGGAGGCCAAGGCGGUGGAUCACAAAGUCAGGAGUUCAAGACCAGCCUGGCCAACAUAGUGAAACCCUGUCUCUACUAAAAAUACAAAAAUUAGCCAGGCAUGGUGGCACACGCCUGUAGUCCCAGCUACUGGGGAGGCUGAGGCAGGAGAAUUGCUUUGAACCCGGGAGGCAGAGGUUGUGAGCUGAGAUCGCGUCAGUACACUCCAGCCUGGGCAACAAUGCGAGAUUGCAUCUCAAAAAAAUAAAUAAAUAUUUGGAGUCCCAUAAUAAAUAAAUAUUUGGAGUCCAAUGUGAUAGUAUCUGGAGAUGGGGCCUUUGGAGGUAAUAUGGGUUAGAUAGGUCAUGACGGUAGGGCCCUCAUUAUGGGAUUAGUGGCGUUAUAAGAAGAAGAGAGAAAUCUUCCUCCUCAAGAGCAGAGGAAAAGCCAUAUAAGAAUACAGUGAGACGGCCACUUCCAAACCAGAAAGGGAGCCCCCACCAGGAACCAAAUUGGCUGGCACCUUGAUCUUGGACUUCCCAUGCUCCAGAACUGUGAGAAAUAAAUUUCUAUUAUUUAAGCCCAUGGUAGUUUUAUGGCAUCCUAAGCUAAGACAGCGCGUCUCUAGUUUCCCACAGAUUCAUAAAGGUCCAUACAAAAAUGUUAUAACUGUUAAUAGUGUCCUGUCCUUGAAUUUAACAGCAACCAACAUAUUGUUUGCAUAGUUCUUGCACCAUUUGGAAACAGUGACCUUUAGGUGUUGCAGGUAACUAUUGGGAAAUCCUUCAAUUUGUUUAACAUUUCCAUAUUUUGAUUUGCAUCUUGGGAGUUGCUUGGAAUUUGGGAUCCUCUUCUGUCUCUUGAGUUGAAAUCAGAGGCUGCUUGCCGGGCAAGGUGGCUCACGCCUGUAAUCCCAGCACUUUGGGAGGCCCAGGCAGACAGAUCACCAGAUGUCGGGAGUUAGAAACCAGCCUGGCCAACAUGGCAAAACCCCGUCUCUACUAAAAAUACAAAAAUUAGUCGGGCGUGCUGGUGCAUGCCUGUAAUCCUAGCUGCUUGGGUGCUGAGUUAGGAGAAUUGCUUGAAUCCGGGAGGUGGAGGUUGCAGUGAGCCAAGAUCGUGUCACUGCACUCCAGCCGGGGCAACAGAGCAAGACUCUGCCUCAAAAAAAAGAAAAAAGAAAUCAGAGGCUGGGCAUAGUGGCUCAUGCCUAUAAGCCCAGCACUUUGGGAGGCCAAGGCAGGUGGAUCACUUGAGGCCAGGAGUUCAAGACCAGCCUGGGCAACAUGGCAAAAGCCUAUCUCUACUAGAGAUACAAAAGAUUAGCUGGACGUGAUGGUGUGUGCCUGUAAUCCCAGCUACUCAAGAGGCUGAGGCACAAGAGAAUUGCUUGAACACAGGAGGUGGAGGUUGCAGUGAGCCAAGAUCACGCCACUGCACUCCAACCUGGGGCAACAGAGUGAGACUCUGUCUCAAAAAAAAAAAAAAGAAAUCAGAGAUAAUAUAAAUGCAGGUGUAAACUCAUACACUUAAUGGGCUAUAAGUUUUGGAACUGGCUGUGAUAAUAUAACAAAAGUAAUAAUGGGCUGUAAGUGGUAUUAAAUGUGGGAUUAACUGGAUAUUUAAUGAUACCAAGGAAUCAUUAAUUUUGUUUGGCUGUGAUGUUUUAUUAUUAGAAUGAUGUUAUGAUUAAAUUUUAUUUUUGUCUGGAUACAGUGGCUCACACCUGUAAUCCCAGUGCUUUGGGAGGCCGAGGCAGAUGGAUCACUUGAGGCCAGGAGUUCCAGACCAGCCUGGCCAACACGGCGAAACCCCAUCUCUACUAAAAAUACAAAAAAUUAGCCAGGCCUGGUGGUGCACGCUUGUAAUCCCAGGUACUUGGGAGGCUAAGGCAGGAGGAUCACUUGAACCCAGGGGAGGCUGCAGUGAGCUGAGAUCGUGCCACUGCACUCCAGCUUGGGCAACAGAGCAAGACUCCAUCUUAAAAAGAAGAAAGAAAGAACUUCUAUUUUUUAAAUGUUUUUUCCUUUCAUUGAACUCCAUUUAUAGCCUUUCCAUUCAGAGCAUAAAGAUUAAAUUUUAAAACAAGGCUUGGCACCCUGGCUUAUGCCUGUAAUCCCAGCACUUUGUGAGGCCAAGGUGGGCGGAUCACCUGAGCUCAGAAGUUUGAGUCCAGCCUGGCUAACAUGGUGAAACCCCAUCUCUAAAAGAGUACACAGUCCUAGAGCAGUGGUGUGCGCCUGUAGUCCUAGCUACCUGGGAGGCUGAACCAGGAGAAUUGCUUGAGCCUGGGAGGCAGAGGUUGCAGUGAGCCAAGAUCGCACCAUUACACUCCAGCCUGGGUGACAGAGAGAGACCCUGUGCCCCUCAAAAAAAUGUUUUUUUUAAACAAGAAUCUCUCAGGCAUACUGAAAUGUUGAAGAGGAAAUUAUAUUAAUAUCUGGGACUUGUUUCCAAAUUUGGAAUUGGGGCAGGGUGUAAAUUGUUGGCAAUAUCAAAGAAACGAGGAGUUGGAAUGAUAAUUGUAGAAGCUGCAUGAUAGAUACACAUUCUUUAUACUUCUGUAUAUGUUGAAAUUUUUUAUCAAAUUAUAAUUGUGUAUAAUGACUAAUUAUGCUUUCAUUGUCUAUUCUGUGUGGUUAUGUUACUUGCUGAAAUUAAUACAUAAAGAGUCUUCAACUUAAAUGACUUAUCAAGCAUAAAUAUUAAAAUACUGGAUGUUACUACACAUUUGAC